rnacentral:rRNA from 1 species
UACGGGGGGGGCAAGCGUUGUUCGGAAUUACUGGGCGUAAAGGGCUCGUAGGCGGCCAACUAAGUCAGACGUGAAAUCCCUCGGCUUAACCGGGGAACUGCGUCUGAUACUGGAUGGCUUGAGGUUGGGAGAGGGAUGCGGAAUUCCGCGUGUAGCAGUGAAAUGCGUAGAUAUGCGGAGGAACACCGAUGGCGAAGGCAAUCCCCUGGACCUGUACUGACGCUCAUGCACGAAAGCGUGGGGAGCAAACAGG